rnacentral:rRNA from 1 species
GGGUGCGAUCAUACCAGUGUUAAUGCACCGGAUCCUAUCAGAACUCUGCAGUUAAGCGCGCUUAGGCUGAAGUAGUUCUGGGAUGGGUGACCUCCUAGGAAGUCCUAGUGUUGCACCCU